GGAAAGGAUGGGUCAAUGAGUGAAUGAAUCCUGGGGGCUCCUCCAGCGCUGGGGGCACACGGGAUCAACCCCUGCUCUCCUGGGGGAGGACAGGACGCUGCUGGCAGGGCAGAUCCCCAAGGAAAGCAGGAAUUCCCAAAGAAUUCCUUCUGGCCUCUUUUGGGGGGGAUCCUGCCUGGAAAAGGUGGUGCUGCAAGGGCCAGUCUGGGCUGGGGCUGUCACCACCCCUUUCCCGAGCAGGGGCAGCAGGAACGGGACAGGGAAGCGCCUGCUGGGAAUGGGGAGUGAUAAACCUGCCUGGGAGCGGCUCUGACGGGAACUGCCCGGCCUGGAUGGCACGGCUGUGCCAACAACAACACCCUGACGGUGUCACCCCCACGGUGACAGCCCGAGCCCUGUCCCGGAGCAGAGGUGACAGCUCGGAAAUGCACUUCCUGCCCGACCGGGAGGACGGGUCUGGCGGGAAGAGCCCGACCGGGACAGCCCCGGGACAGCCCCAGGCCAGACCCGGGACAGCCCCAGGACAGCCCCGGGAGGGGAAAGGGGCAGUGGAGCUCGGGGAGGCCCCAGCUGAGCCCACAGGGAACGGUGAUCCCCAAGGGAAUGGUGGGUGAUUCCCACCAAGAGGGGUCCAACACCUCUGGCUCUGCUGCUCCCUCCUUGUCCCAGCCCCCAUCCCGGGGGAAUCCAGGUGAUCCCCUUGUCCCAGCCCCCAUCCCAAGGGAAUCCAGGUGACUCCCUUGUCCCAGCCCCCAUCCCAAGGGGAAUCCAGGUGAUCCCCUUGUCCCAGCCCCCAUCCCGGGGGAAUCCAGGUGAUCCCCUUGUCCCAGUCCCCAUCCCAAGGGAAUCCAGGUGAUCUCCUUGUCCCUGAUCCCAGGGGAAUCCAGGUGAUCCCCUUGUCCCAGCCCCCAUCCCGGGGGAAUCCAGGUGAUCCCCUUGUCCCAGCCCCCAUCCCAGGGGAAUCCAGGUGAUCCCCUUGUCCCUGAUCCCAGGGGAAUCCAGGUGAUCCCCUUGUCCCAGCCCCCCCAGCUGGAGGUGCCAGAGGCAGAGGGGAAGGAAGGACAAGGCCAGGUGGCAGGUGCCACCCAGCUCCGUGUCCCCGUGUCCCCGUGUCCGGCUGGGCAGGAUCCGAGCCCCGCCGUGACGCGCGGAGGAGCCCCGGGACGUCACUGCCCGGAUCCCGCCGCCUCCCACCUGGGCUCAGGUGUGACCGCGGCCAGCAAAGGGACAAAGGGACACGGGGACAAAGGUCUGGGGGUGGAGGAGUGCGGUGGGAACUUCCUAAUGCCGAGAAAAUCCCUGGGGAAACACCUGAGCGUGUCUCCAUAACGCCCAGCCCUGGUUCCACCCAGCUCCAAACGGUUCCUGACAGAAUUCCCUGCACUCCUCUGGCCACGGGUUCAGCCCUGGCCACCUCCAGCCCCACCGGAGCCAGGGGACCCUCGUGGCCAAUCCAUGCCACGGUCACUGCCCUUGUCCCGUUCCUGUGGCAUUCAGCUCUCCCCAAGGAUAGCAGGAAAUUCCCACAGAAUUCCUGUCCCCACAGCCCGGGGCUCAGCCCCACUCUGCUGAGGCAGGAUGAGGAUCCCCAGCCCGGGGUGCAGCCCGGCCUUCCCUUGGGCACAUAAUGCCCCAUUGAGGUCAGGGACUGUCCCCACCCCCGGGGGACAAGGGCUCCAUUGUCCCCCGGGCCAGAGACAGCUCCGGGAAGGGCUGGGACGCCGGGACAAGGCUCCACAGAGGGAUGAAAGAAUCCUGGUGACAAUUCCCUCGCUGCUUCUCCCACUAAAGUCAGGGAUUGAGGCGCCCCAGGCCCCUCACCACCCAUCCCAACCCCCUCAAGGAUGUCCCAGUGAGGCCAGGCCCUUUCCCAGGGAGAAAUUCCAGCCCACUCAGGCUAAGGCAUGGAUUUAGAGGGCUCCCAGCCCAAUUCCAGGUCUCUCCAAGGGACUUUGGGCACCUCAGGAUUAUCUCCCCAUGUUUGUGAGGGUACAAACCCCACAGAAACAGCAGCCUGGCCUCCCACCACAGAUCCAGGGCCUCCCAGUAUGGAUCCAGGCCUUCCUGGUGGCUGGGAAAAACCGAGUUAUAGCUCCAACGGCUGCAAAAAUCGAGAGAAUAAACCCCCCAGGGGCAGUUUCCGAGGCUGGCCCGAUGGAUCCCUGCAGAUCAGAUCGUUGGGACAGAGGGAACAGCCCCAGGCCCUGGCUCAGCCCAGCCCAGCUGGAAUGGGUGAUCCAGAGGAAAAACCCCAGCCCUGCUCAGCCCCUAAACCUGGGAUGGACAGGGCCAGGUCAGCAUUCCUGGCCAUCCCGGACACCCCUGGGGUGUAAUUAACCCUAAUUAGCACACCCGGAUGGAUGGACCCGACUGUGACACAAAGGGGUUUAAUUAUCUAAUUAUCAAGGAUGGUUUUCCAGCAGUGCCGGAAUUCCCGGGGAUUCAGGAUGGGGAAUAACUCCACCAUUCCACCCCGAGUGCUGGAAAAGCCCAAAUCCAGGCUGGGAAUCCGCCCUGCACCGGGAUAGGAGGGAAAAGUGAUGGAUCCCAGCCUGGAUUGGGAUCCACCUGGAGAAAUGCCACAGGAGGGGAAGGAUCCAGGGGGAAAGCAAAGCCCCACUGGAGCUCCCAAGGGGGCACUUCCAGAGGAAGGGAUGUCCAAACCAGCCUGAAACAGCGGGAAAAACACGUGGCUGGGAAUUUUGGGAAUGCGCAGGUUGAGGGGAGGGCGGGAUGGAGCGGCACCAGGGCAAGGAGGCUUCUGCCGGUGCCCCGGUGCUUCAGGAAGCGACAGCCCCGCACCGAGAGCGGGAGAGGACGCGGUAACCGGCAGGAACCGGCUCGGCACGGCUAGGGCGAGCGGCCGAUGGGCACAAAGGCGAAGGGCUGGGGCAGCCCAGCGCGGGGUUCCGGUGUUUCUGGGAUGCCCCCGUGCCCUGCUCCGCUCCCCGUUAUCGGUGCGGCCACGCUCCGUUCCCGGGCCCACCCCAGCACCGCUCCUAUCUCCGGGGCACAGCCCCGCGGCGAGGAUGAUGAUGGUGCUGGGGAGGAAGGCCCACAUAGCUCAGCAAUCCCGGGGUGGGGAGCCCGGGCACCGUCCGGUGCCGCUGCUCCAGGCACGGAACCGGCACCCAGCAGCGAAAACCGGGGAGCUCUCAGUGCCUACCGAGCCCCCCGAAUCCUUCUGGAACCCUCUCAACCCCCGCUGCCCUCACUCCUAUCGCGACUGACCGCCGUGACCCGAACCCCCCCGCGCCACCACCGUACGGCCCGCCCCGCCCCGCCCCGCUCCCGUUCCGCUCCCGUUCCCCCGAGAGCGGCCGGCCGGCACGGAGCCCCUCCCGUUAGGAGCCGCGUUCCGGCGGGCGCGGCCUUGCUCGGGCCCCGCCGCUGUCCCGGCCCCGUCCCCGCUCGGGCCCCGUCCCGGUCCCGGCCCCGUUUGCGCGGCCCUUGCGCCGUUUGCGCGGCCCGUGCGCCGCUGGCGCAGCGAGGCCCGGCUCCGCCGGCCGCGCCCUUACGCCGCCGCUAUUCCCGAACGCUCCCUACGCCCGUGGCGCCGCCCGCCGCUCCCGCCGCUCCGGCCCGCCACCGCCGCCGCCCUCCCCGCCGCUGCCGCCGC